UACGUAGGGUGCGAGCGUUGCCCGGAUUUAUUGGGCGUAAAGGGCGCGUAGGCGGCUCGGCACGUCCGUUGUGAAUUCGCCCGGCUCAACUGGGCGGGGUCGGCGGAUACGGCCGAGCUGGAGCAAGCUAGGGGGUAAUGGAAUUCCCGGUGUAGUGGUGGAAUGCGUAGAAAUCGGGAGGAACACCAGUGGCGAAGGCGGUUACCUGGAGCUUUGCUGACGCUGAUGCGCGAAAGCGUGGGGAGCGAUCCGG
rnacentral:rRNA from 1 species